rnacentral:rRNA from 1 species
GACGAACGCUGGCGGCGUGCUUAACACAUGCAAGUCGAACGAUGAAGCCGGAGCUUGCUCUGGUGAAUUAGUGGCGAACGGGUGAGUAACACGUGAGUAACCUGCCCUUGACUCUGGGAUAACUGCUAGAAAUGGUAGCUAAUACCGGAUACGACCCUCGGAGGCAUCUUCAGGGGGUGGAAAGAAUUUCGGUCAAGGAUGGACUCGCGGCCUAUCAGCUAGUUGGUGAGGUAACGGCUCACCAAGGCGACGACGGGUAGCCGGCCUGAGAGGGUGACCGGCCACACUGGGACUGGGACACGGCCCAGACUCCUACGGGAGGCAGCAGUGGGGAAUAUUGCACAAUGGGCGCAAGCCUGAUGCAGCAACGCCGCGUGAGGGAUGACGGCCUUCGGGUUGUAAACCUCUUUUAGUAGGGAAGAAGCGAAAGUGACGGUACCUGCAGAAAAAGCACCGGCUAACUACGUUCCAGCAGCCGCCGUAA